rnacentral:rRNA from 1 species
RUAGGGKGCRAGCGUUAWUCGGAAUUACUGGGCGUAAAGSGYGCGYAGGCGGCGUUGUAAGUCAGGCGUGAAAUCCCCGGGCUUAACCUGGGAAKGCGCUUGAAACUGCGAKGCUKGAGUAUGGSAGAGGGAGGUGGAAUUCCACGUGUAGCGGUGAAAUGCGUAGAUAUGUGGAGGAACACCGRUGGCGAAGGCRGCCUCCUGGGCCAAUACUGACGCUCAUGCACGAAAGCGUGGGGAGCAAACAGGAUUAGAUACCCUGGUAGUCCACGCCCUAAACGAUGA